rnacentral:rRNA from 1 species
UGGGGAAUAUUGCGCAAUGGGGGCAACCCUGAUCCAGCAAUGCCGCGUGAGUGAAGAAGGCCUUCGGGUUGUAAAGCUCUUUUGUCAGGGAAGAAACGGUAGUAGCGAAUAACUAUUACUAAUGACGGUACCUGAAGAAUAAGCACCGGCUAACUACGUGCCAGCAGCCGCGGUAAUACGUAGGGUGCAAGCGUUAAUCGGAAUUACUGGGCGUAAAGCGUGCGCAGGCGGUUGUGUAAGUCAGAUGUGAAAUCCCCGGGCUCAACCUGGGAAUUGCAUUUGAGACUGCACGGCUAGAGUGUGUCAGAGGGGGGUAGAAUUCCACGUGUAGCAGUGAAAUGCGUAGAUAUGUGGAGGAAUACCGAUGGCGAAGGCAGCCCCCUGGGAUAACACUGACGCUCAUGCACGAAAGCGUGGGGAGCAAACAGGAUUAGAUACCCGGGUAGUCCCUGAGCGGGCUGGCAAGGCGCAU